GAAUCAAACUUGAAACUCAAAACUUCAACUUAUAAACCCAGAAUAUUCAUGUUAGGUUACAUCAUAGCCCUAGUUAUGAAUUUAGCUACUCAUAAUGGAAAUGAAACUUAAGCAAAAAUGAGAAAACAUAUUGAAUGCAAUAAGAGUAGAGAAACCCAAUUCUGAAGUUGCUUGUGGUUUCCAAGGCUUUUCCAGGUGCUUCUCCACGUCUAAUGCUACUCCAAGAACUUUCUCAUGUCUAGAGUAUGGCAACUAAAGAGGUGAUUUGGGAUGAGUUUGGGUGGUUGGUGAUGGCAGAGAAAGAACAAAUUCGUAGGAAAUGGAAGGAAGGCUUGUUGGAGUUCUUCCCCAUGAUUUUGGGCUGAAUCAAGUGAUAUAAGAUGGCUGGAGUGAAUUCUUGGUCAAUAGAGUGACUCCUUUGCACUUGAGUAGCUGACACACCUCCCUAAAUUGCUCAACAUGUCAGGUCUAAAGUCAAGGAAAGCUGUGGUGAGUCACAUGGCUCAAAGAAAGUAUCCAAGGCUCAAAGAAAGUAUCCAAGGCUCAACAACUGGAAACUGCAAUCCUGAGCCUGGUGUGUAUAUGGGCUCACGAAUUGGGCUCAACUUCAUUAUCUGAUGCAUUUGAGUAGUCCAUCUUGAAGUUCAGACUCUCAUCUUUCCAACUACAUAUUAGUUGGGCCAAUCCAAGUUCGGAGAAAGAUGUUAAGCCCAAAAUGAGUUGCUAACCCAGUCUGCUCGUUUUUGCACCAUUUUGCAUCUUUUCUUAUCCAAAGACACCAUUGCUACCUAAGGCCCAAUGAACUGAAUGAUAAACAGAAAAGGGAUUAAAAGCACACGUUUGACUCAAUAACAUAACCAAAUCAUAAGCUAGAAGGGUACAAAAUGAUAUACAAUUGUGAACUGAUCAAAUACCCCCAGACCUAGAUUUUGCUAGUCCUCGAGCAAAACAAAAGAGAAUAAAGUUGAAAACAAAACAAGAAGUUAACUAAACCACUUCUGUAGGUAACUCGAUUGCAAUGUGCAUAUGCAACAAGCCUUUAAACCUCUCGGCAUCCCUAAUCGGAAGAGUUGUGUCUCCUGAGGGUUUAACAGAAACGAUACCCACAAACACUUUACUGACUCUCUAACACCAAAAGGUUAGAAAACUAACUUUGAAAACAACUAAUGAAAGAAAACAUUAAUCAUGCAUCCAACACCAUAGAGUUACCAAGAUAGAUGAUCAAUAAGUGUGUAAAGUGGAAGCUAUAGCUCAAAGGCACACGGCUUCAAAGUAAACAUACUCAAAUCUUGAAGGAAGAACAUGCUUCAACUCUAAUUCUCACAUCUAGCACUCCAUCACUCAGAACCUAUGGUUUUAUUCUCUCAAACAAGCAUAAGUGAGUAUAUGAAAUAGAAGCACAAUAUUUGGUUAGAUCUCAUGAAGGGAAUCAAAUACUAAGAGUAGAGAUACACACAUACAUACCAGCACCCAUGAAUACAUCCUCAAAGAUCAGCUAGGUCUUUCACAAGGUUGUAAUGAAAGGCUAAGGUUAAGGGAAGUGGAAGAAUUGGAAGGAACAUAACUAACUUAAGAACAUACCAAGGUUGCAUUCUUCAUUGAUCUGCAAGGUAUCAUUGAUUUAGAAUGGUAUGGCUGCAACUUCAUAGCAUCAUCUGGCAUAGACUUUAUAUUUCACAUUUAGAUCAAAUCGAAACACUUUCUCUUUAUCUUUUUUUUUUUUUUUUUUUUUUUGACUUGAUCUACUUCUUCUUUAACUUUAUUGCAUAGAUUCACACCAAUUUACAUUUGGGCAUGUGGCAGCAAUUUACAUUUGGGCAUGUGGCAACAACCUCCUUGCUUCAAACUUUAUCUUGGCACACCUUGGUAUAUUUCUAAGCUAUAGGGUAUGGCUAUAAUAGGUUAAAUAUCUCUGAUUGAGAUACAAAGUUAGGGGAAUUAUGAGGGUGAUAGAAGAAAAAGGCUUGUAGUGUUUGGCUGCAAGAGAGCUGAUGGAACACACGAAUGGGUAGGGUGAAAAGAAAGCACAGAAAAUGGUUAUACACGCAGAGCCUAGCAUCACUUCAAUGAGUUCAUUCAUGGGUGAGAGCACGCACCUAAUAUCUGCAAAGAGAAUCAUCCUUAGUAUUCAACCAAAAUGGAACAAUGAGAUCAUUUAGAGUGAAUUGAAGAAAAUAAGUAGAGAUGAGGAAUAGAAACACUUUAAACCCUCUCAAGAAAGCAAUUAGGCUCGAAAUAGCUCACUAGGGUAGUCUCCACUAUUCUCCUUCAAGAAUCUGAGCAUGAUACUUUAGCCACCAGAAUUCUAAGAGCAAAAGCUUUGUGAAGUGUAAAAUUUCUGAUAUGAAAAUCUCAAUGGCAGCUCCAUAGCAUUGGUUGUAUGAAAUUUUUUUUAAAAUAAAAAAAAUAGUGACAAGCGAACGAAAAUUGUAAACACAAAUGAACAAAAAUUGAAAACCUCCCCCCAAGACCUGAAUUGAACAUUGUCCUCAAUGUUAAAGCAUAACAAAGAUGAGUGAGAACAUGUGAAUAAUAAGGGGAAAGUUUAAGACAAAGUAUUAGAGAAACUCCCUCUUGAUGCGAUUAGGUUGACCGCUACCAAGCACCUUAUUCUUCAACACAUGGGUUGCCUCCCAAGAAGCGCCUUAGUUAAUGUCUUGGCAAGACAUUAUGCCAUUAGCUAACUUGAUUGUACGAAGGGAAGAUGAUCCACCACAUGACCAGUUUGAAUUCCAACUGACACUCCCUCAUAGAAUGGCUUUAAACGUUGUCCAUUUACUUUGAAAGUCGAGCCAUCUUUAGGAUUUUGAAUCUCCACAGCUCCAUAGGGAGAUACAUUGACCACGGUGAAUGGGCCAAGCCACCUAGACUUCAAUUUUCCUGGAAAGAGACGCAAACGUGAGUUAAACAAAAGAACUGACAUACCUUUGGUGAAUUCUUUCCGUUGAAUGUUCCUGUCAUGGUAACUCUUGGUACGUUCUUUGUAUAGCUUUGCAUUCUCAUAGGACUCAUGUCGAAUUUCUUCCAAUUCAUUGAGCUGAAACUUUCUAACAUGGCCGGCCUUGUCCAGAUCAAAAUUCAACUUCUUGAUGGCCCAAAAAGCAUUGUGUUCAAGCUCCAUUGGCAAGUGACAGGCUUUCCCAAACACAAGACGAUAAGGGCUCAUUCCGAUGGGAGUCUUAUAUGCAGUCCUAUAAGCCCAGAAUGCAUCAUUGAGCUUGGCAGCCCAAUCUUUCCUUGUACUAUUCACCACCUUCUCUAGGAUCUGCUUAAUUUCUCUGUUGCUUAUUUCUACUUGACCAGAAGUUUGAGGAUGAUAUGGUGUAGAGACUCGGUGGGUGAUAUUGUACUUCUUCAUGAGUGCUUCAAAUAGCUUGUUGCAGAAGUGGCUGCCUCCAUCACUAAUGACAGCCCUUGGAGUACCAAACCUUGUGAAAAUAUUGUCCCUCAAGAACUUCAGGACCACCUUAUGAUCAUUGGUAUCAACAGCAACAAGUAUGUAGGUAUAACCAAAGGAAGAUGGGAAUGGUCCCAUGAAAUCAAUACCCCAUACAUCGAAGAGUUCCACAAAGAGUAUGUUCUUCAAUGGCAGUUCGUUCCUGCGGCUUAUGUUUCCCAUCCUUUGACACCUAUCACACUUAACACAAAAAUUAAAUGCAUCUUUGAAUAGAGUAGGCCAAAAGAAACCUGAUUGCAAAAUUUUAAGUGCUGUUUUCUUGGCUCCAAAGUGGCCUCCACAAGCCAAUUUGUGGCUAUGCCUAAGGAUGCUUUCUUGUUCUUCUUCUGGAACACAUCUUCUAAUGAGUUGAUCUGGGCAAUGCUUGAAUAAGAAAGGUUCAUCCCAGACAUAAUGUUUCACCAUGGAAAAGAAACCCAAUUCUGAAGUUGCUUGUGGUUUCCAAGGCUUCUCCACGUGCUUCUUCACGUCUAAUGCUACUCCAAGAACUUUCUCAUGUCUAGAGUAUGGCAACUAAAGAGGUGAUUUGGGAUGAGUUUGGGUGGUUGGUGAUGGCAGAGAAAGAACAAAUUCGUAGGAAAUGGAAGGAAGGCUUGUUGGAGUUCUUCCCCAUGAUUUUGGGCUGAAUCAAGUGAUAUAGGAUGGCUGGAGUGAAUUCUUAGUCAAUGGAGUGACUCCUUUGCACUUGAGUAGCUGACACACCUCCCUAAAUUGCUCAACAUGUCAG
rnacentral:lncRNA from 1 species